rnacentral:lncRNA from 1 species
GUUCUCUCCCAGCCCCAAACCAUUAGGGUUUCACCUAACCUACCGAAACCUUUGCUCUCCUCUCCUUUACUAUUAGCAACCCUCUCAUGGAACUCUACCAGUCCCUAAAUAUGUUCAGUUUAGGACAUCUCCACAACUCUCUCUGGCUAGCACCUUUCAGUUGGGUUUAAUCCAUUAUGUCGGUAACACGAAUUUUAGUUUGUGUAUGAAUUACUCUCCUAAAAUCGAAGGAAAUUUCUUCUCUUACUUUGUGCAUAUCGGUUGGAUCAGUGACCUAGAGCAAUUGCAUACAAAAUAAGGAAAAGGUCGAUUACAUGAGCAAUUGGUUAAUGGGUACAGGUCAAAGCUGAGUUCGGUUAGAAACGCGCCAUUGGGUACAGACCCAUAAAACCAAUGUUUUCCCAGAAGUGGAUUCGAAUGUAAACAAUGCGUUUGAUUCGACAAAAGCAACAGUUCACUGAAAGAUGGGGUUACUGUGAAUCCAAAUGGAACCGCUGGCAUAUCUAUGGAGCACACUGCUGUUGGAGCGACCCUUAUGGGACUCGCUAUCAUGGUUAUCAGUGUGGUUAUUCUUAAUCACUCAUAAUUUGUCGAUUACGCUAAUAAAGUUGUUUCGCUAUAAAUGCAUAUAUCCAGUUUGUUUGAAUCUUGUAAUGAAACUUGGAAAAUCUUGUUUUAUGUUCGAACGAUAAGCCCGUCUCAUCCUGCUUUAACCAUACAUUGCCUCCUUUAUUGUUCGCAUCCUCAGCAUCUUGUAUCUUGUUAUUCAGAUCCCUAGAAACAUCUGCAGAGGACGUUGUUUGGUUAACAACAGCAUCAGCCGAAUGCACCAGGUGAAUGACCCUAUUAACCUCAUCAGCAGAAGACAUAUCAACAUGAUGUAUAUUCUGAAUUCUGUUCUUGUUGUGUAAGGCCUGAAUAGGAGGAGACGUAGUCCGUUGCAAUAACUAGAUCUCACAAUUUAAAAAAAUGUGCUUACAUCCUGACAUUGAUUCAUUUCUGUGAUCUUACCCUUUGUGCUUUUAACAUGUUUUGUUUAUAGAGAUGUUGAAUUUUUAACAGUUGCAAUAUUGGCAUGCAUCUACUAGUUGCCUGCCUCUGUGUGCUGGUUUUCUUGUGCUGCAUGGUUUGUCUCAGAUUCGACCCGAUCAAAAAAUCUCAGGUGCAACGCCACUAGUUAUAUGUUUUACAUGAUCUCAACGUGAAUAUCGGGAGGACAUUAUGACCAUGGUUUAAUUGAUGGGGGCACAAGUUUCGAAACCGCUAAUUGUAACCAAGGUGGCUUUUUUAUCGAACAAUAUAUUAAGAGCCUACCAUGUUUACAGGUAUGCGUGUGUUCUAUUACUCCAUCUAGAAGUGUAACUUCUAGUUAGCGGGUUUUAAUUGAUUAAAAAACUACAUCAGUACAAAAAUAGAGAUUGCAUGCUUCAAGAAUUUACUUUGGGCAUCUUUUGACCCUAUUGACCCAUUCAUCAUAUUUUUAGCAAUGUUUUAGUUCAUCAAUUGACCUGUCUAAGGCAGAUGAUAAUUCAAUUCGACUCAUUAUAAACCGAAGGGUAAACAUUCUCAUCACGAACUCUCUUGUUGUUAUGGUGAUGGCAAUUGCGACAACUUGGGGUAUUGAAAAAAGAACCCAAUCUUUUGGCUGACGAGCUUAAAGUGAUGUCAAAAGAAGUUGAGUAUAGUCAGUUGGUUGAUGUAGCGACAAUAAGUAGUAAGUGCUGGGAACUAUGAAGUGGAAGUAUGACUACUAAGAAAACGUUAACACGAUGAUUAUUUAACUCGCAUGAAGAUUGUGAAAGAGAUUCAUGAAAACAAUGAAGUUUUGAGUUUUUAUUCUUACACUUGUUAGUUUAUUUGGGUUAUAUGUUUGAUCAUUAGACUUAGAUUGACACUUAUUAGACAUUUGGAAUCUUUGGAAGAUUGAUUGAACUUUUAAUUAAAAGUUUAUU